UGUUCACUUCGGCAGCACAUAACUAAAAUUGGAACGAUACAGAGAAGAUUAGCAUGGCAAGGAUGCUGCGCAAGGAUGACACGCAAAUUUGUGAAGCGUUCCAUAUUAAA